UAUAAUAAGCUAAUUAAAUUAAUAAGUGAACAAACGUUAGUAGAACAAACCUAAUAGUAGUAUGUAAAGCGGUAUAGAAGUAGAAAUAUAUAAUACGCAAUUAACACGUCGCGCACUACGUAAAUUAAUACAUCUUAACGUCACGAUUUUCGACACCUGAAUGACGCCCCCCGCGGCCCGGUUCGCCUUGCACGUUUCAUAAGGGUAGGGAUGAAUGUUUAUCCCGCGGUAAAUCGACCGUGCCCGAAUCAACAAAUUCUUGGAAAACUCGCUUGAUGUGGUAAGAAAUGUUUCCAACUACGAAGUUAUCAUGUUACACGUGGAAGGAAGGAAGAGGAAACAAACACGUACCGGAGGGCCCCGUCUCCCUUCGCUCUCCUCUUUGACUUUAAGUCAGUACACCGUGGAAAGGAAGGAUACUUAGGAAAUCAGCGUUACGAAGUAAAGCCAACAGAGCGUGAAGAGGGGUCCUACGACACAGGAUGUUCUCCUACCUUCCGUGUCGUUCGCACUCCGAGCCCCCCUACCGUAAAAUCGUCUAUUCGUGGAAAGAUACUGACAGUGCCGUUCGAAACAAUGCUACGUGCCCAUAGUUAUCUACGUGCGAAACACCCCGAUCCACCGUGCUCCAGACAACACCAGACAGUAGAAAAACUAAUUUUACUCUUUCCCCUGGAAAAAGAACGAGACGGGAGGUGUUAACAACCGAGACAUCUCCGUUCCAUUCUCGUUUGACCUUUUCAUCAAAGAAUUUUCUAAUUAAUAAGUCGAAACAAAAGACGACCGUGCAUCGUGGCAUGAAUAGAACAAUUAUCAACGUGCUUUAAGCACCACACAAUAUGUCAUUAAGCCUUCCUGGCAGCUUUUAUUCCGUUCAAGCUGUUACAUGCGGGUCGUAACGGUACCGUCCAAAUUAGGCGACCGUUGCGCGAGCGUACACUCUAAUAAACGCGCUUUUUGUUAAUA